rnacentral:rRNA from 1 species
GAUGAACGCUGACAGAAUGCUUAACACAUGCAAGUCAACCGGUGGCGGACGGGUGAGUAACGCGUAAAGGACUUGCCACCCAGAUAGGGACAACAUCUGGAAACGAAUGCUAAUAUCUGAAACUGUGAGAGAGUUUUGCGUACCAUGAGCUAGUUGGCGAGGUAACGGCUCGCCAAGGCGAUGAUGGGUAGCCGGCCUGAGAGGGUGAUCGGCCACAAGGGGACUGGGACACAGCCCUUACUCCUACGGGAGGCAGGAGGGGGGUAUAAUGGACAAUCGACCAGAGGCUGUGACAGCAAUUCUGUGUGCACGAUGAAGUUUUCGGAAUGUAAAGUGCUUUCAGUUGAGAAUCAGUACCAACAGAAGAAGUGACGGCUAAAUACGUGCCAGCAGCCGCGGUAAUUC